rnacentral:rRNA from 1 species
UACGUAGGGGGCAAGCGUUGUCCGGAUUUAUUGGGCGUAAAGAGCGUGUAGGCGGCCAGACAGGUCCACUGUGAAAACUCGAGGCUCAACCUCGAGAGGUCGGUGGAAACCGUCUGGCUAGAGUCCGGAAGAGGAGAGUGGAAUUCCCGGUGUAGCGGUGAAAUGCGCAGAUAUCGGGAGGAACACCGGUGGCGAAGGCGGCGAUCUGGGUCGAUACGUGACG